UUGAGCUGAUGAACAACGCCUCUACCAUUGCGGGGGCAGUACGCCAGCUAUGGAGGAAGCAUUACCCAAAGUUCAGCAUCGAGCACUUCCAGAUUAUUGACAUUGACGUACCGAAGCAGCUUGGCAAUAAUGAGUGUGGGUUGUUCGCACUGCUUAACGCCACCGAGUGGAAUGGUAGCCAACUGCCCAACUACGACCCCAAGGAAGUACUCAACAUCAGGAAGAAGCUGACGUAUGAUUGGGUCACCAGCGUGCACAACACCGCCCCAUGGAGGAAGUUGCUGAGAUACGACAAGGAGUAGGUUUCCGUUUCGCAAGGAGCUCUUUUCAGAUUUUUCUGCACAUAAUUGGAUGCUACAUUUGAGAAGGAAAAUCCAGGUGAAAGAAGAAAGAAG